AUACGGAGGAUGCAAGCGUUAUCCGGAUUUAUUGGGUUUAAAGGGUGCGUAGGCGGGACUGUAAGUCAGGGGUGAAAUACUGCAGCUUAACUGUAGCAUUGCCUUUGAAACUGUGGUUCUUGAGUACAGUUGAGGUAGGCGGAAUGUGGUGUGUAGCGGUGAAAUGCAUAGAUAUACCACAGAACGCCGAUUGCGAAGGCAGCUUACUAAGCUGUUACUGACGCUGAGGCACGAAAGCGUGGGGAUCAAACAGGAUUAGAUACCCUGGUAGUCCACGCUGUAAACGAUGAUUACUGGUUGUUAGCGAUAUAUAGCUAGUGACUGAGCGAAAGCAUUAAGUAAUCCACCUGGGGAGUACGUCGGCAACGAUGAAACUCAAAGGAAUUGACGGGG
rnacentral:rRNA from 1 species